AAGCUUCGACUCAAGUUCAGAUAGGAAGCUGAAGCAACCCCGCAGAACGAAAAUGGCGGCAGCGAUGGCUCGUCUGCAUCUCCUGCAUCCUCCCACCACCAUCACCAGGCCUUCUCUUCUGUUCCUGAAGCCUUCGCCGUCUCCGCGCGGCUCCCGCAUUCGCAAGGUCUCCACUCUCCCUCGCCUCUGCUCCAGCGCUGAUCAAUCGCCUCAGGGCGCUUCUCCGUCGGCCGCGUUGAGCGGUUCGAUCGUCGGGGACCUCUUGGAUUACCUCAAUGAGUCCUGGACUCAGUUUCAUGCUACAGCUGAAGCAAAAAGACAAUUAAUCAAUGCUGGAUUUCAUUUGCUGAAUGAAAAUGAUGAAUGGAACCUAAAGCCUGGAGGACGCUACUUCUUUACGCGGAAUAUGUCUUGUUUAAUUGCUUUUGCUGUAGGAGAAAGAUAUGAUGUUGGCAGUGGUUUUCAUGUUGUUGCUGCUCACACAGACAGCCCAUGCUUAAAACUGAAGCCAAAAUCUGCAUCAACCAAGUCUAAUUAUCUCAUGGUCAAUGUGCAGACUUAUGGUGGUGGUUUAUGGCAUACUUGGUUUGACAGAGAUCUGAGUGUUGCAGGAAGGGUCAUAGUGAGAGAUAGUGAUGGUUCCUUUCUGCACAAGCUUGUCAAAAUUAAAAGACCUCUUUUACGCGUACCCACUUUAGCCAUUCACCUUGACCGCACGGUCAACAAGGAUGGUUUUAAGCCUAACCUGGAAACACACCUCAUUCCACUGCUUUCCACAAAAACGAAUGAAACAUCUGCAGAGUCAAAAGAGAAAGGUGCCACAAUUUCCUCAAAGCCUGUUCAUCAUCCCCUGCUUUUGCAGAUAUUGUCCGAUGAACUUGGAUGCUGUGCAGAUGAUAUCAUGAGUAUCGAGUUGAAUCUUUGUGAUACCCAACCUAGCUGCCUUGGGGGUGGCAACAAUGAGUUCAUCUUUUCAGGAAGAUUGGAUAAUCUUGCUUCAAGCUAUUGUGCAUUGAGAGCUCUAAUUGACUCUUGUAGAUUAACUGCAGAUUUAUCAACUGAGCAUGCUGUUCGGAUGGUUGCUUUAUUUGACAAUGAAGAGGUGGGUUCAGAUUCCUUUCAAGGUGCUGGUGCACCGACCAUGUUUCAGGCCAUGAGACGCAUCAUUGAUUCCUUAGCUGAUAAGUAUGUUGGGGAGAAUGCUUUUGAGCGUGCGAUACGGAAAUCAUUUCUUGUUUCCGCAGACAUGGCUCAUGGAGUUCACCCAAAUUUUAUGGACAAGCAUGAGGAACACCAUCGACCUGAAAUGCAGAAGGGGCUAGUAAUUAAGCACAAUGCCAAUCAGCAUUAUGCCACCAGCGGCAUUACCGCUUUUCUUUUCAAAGAAGUGGGCAAAAUCCAUAACUUGCCAACACAGGAAUUUGCAGUUAGAAAUGACAUGGGAUGUGGAUCCACCAUAGGUCCGAUACUGGCAUCAGGAGUUGGUAUCCGCACUGUUGAUUGUGGCAUUGCUCAACUUUCCAUGCACAGGUAUUGAAUUGACCUUGUGUGAUUAAUUAUGAUGGUCCCCUGGUCUGUACUCAUCACAUCUGCUGAAGCUUGUUGCUCAAUAGGCAACGUGAGAGAAGUGUGUGGGAAGGAAGAUAUUGACAUCGCAUACCAGCAUUUCAAGGCAUUUUAUCAAAGCUUUUCGCAUGUAGACAGUAAGCUGACUAUUGACUAUUAGUAAGUCUACAAGUAUGCGUCUGAAUUAUUUCUUUAAUCCCUUGGGGCCUUCUGUGUGCCUAAAUUGCAACUGAGAGAGAGAGAGAGAGAGAGAGAGAGAGAGGAGGGGGUGUUCAGGUAUCUGUAUACAUUUCCGGAAAAGUGGAAAUUUCUUUCUCAGAGAAUUUUGAAUGUGUGGAUUGGAAUUUCGAAGUAGGAACUUUGUUAUUCUUUGAAAUAUCUGCUCCGGUCUGAGCAGGGAGGACAUUCCUUGUCUGAGUCAAUUCAUGUUUUCUAAGUUCACUGCAACGGAAUAGGUCAGAGUUUAGUGUUUGCAUUUAGAGUACUUUCCAGAACUUCUACUUCUGCAACUACUUACAUACUCGGAUUCUUUUU